GGGUUGUGAGGUUAAGCGACUAAGCGUACACGGUGGAUGCCCUGGCAGUCAGAGGCGAUGAAGGGCGUGCUAAUCUGCGAUAAGCGCCGGUAAGGUGAUAUGAACCGUUAUAACCGGCGAUACCCGAAUGGGGAAACCCAGUGUGACUCGUCACACUAUCAUUAACUGAAUCCAUAGGUUAAUGAGGCGAACCGGGGGAACUGAAACAUCUAAGUACCCCGAGGAAAAGAAAUCAACCGAGAUUCCCCCAGUAGCGGCGAGCGAACGGGGAGGAGCCCAGAGCCUGAAUCAGCAUGUGUGUUAGUGGAAGCGUCUGGAAAGGCGCGCGAUACAGGGUGACAGCCCCGUACACAAAAGCGCAUGUGCUGUGAGCUCGAUGAGUAGGGCGGGACACGUGGUAUCCUGUCUGAAUAUGGGGGGACCAUCCUCCAAGGCUAAAUACUCCUGACUGACCGAUAGUGAACCAGUACCGUGAGGGAAAGGCGAAAAGAACCCCGGCGAGGGGAGUGAAAAAGAACCUGAAACCGUGUACGUACAAGCAGUGGGAGCCCCACCACCAAAGCAUUUGCUGUACCGCGUUGACGGAGCGAAGCGACGUCAAACCGAUAAAACAGCAGUGUAAAGUGAGCCGCAGGGCGCUUUGCGCGACAGCGCAAAGGCAGGCGGUUUCGCGUAGCGAAAGCGAAUGCUUUGGGGUGGGGUGACUGCGUACCUUUUGUAUAAUGGGUCAGCGACUUAUAUUCUGUAGCAAGGUUAACCGAAUAGGGGAGCCGGAGGGAAACCGAGUCUUAAUUGGGCGUUAAGUUGCAGGGUAUAGACCCGAAACCCGGUGAUCUAGCCAUGGGCAGGUUGAAGGUUGGGUAACACUAACUGGAGGACCGAACCGACUAAUGUUGAAAAAUUAGCGGAUGACCUGUGGCUGGGGGUGAAAGGCCAAUCAAACCGGGAGAUAGCUGGUUCUCCCCGAAAGCUAUUUAGGUAGCGCCUCGUGAAUUCAUCUCCGGGGGUAGAGCACUGUUUCGGCUAGGGGGCCAUCCCGGCUUACCAACCCGAUGCAAACUGCGAAUACCGGAGAAUGUUAUCACGGGAGACACACGGCGGGUGCUAACGUCCGUCGUGAAGAGGGAAACAACCCAGACCGCCAGCUAAGGUCCCAAAGUCAUGGUUAAGUGGGAAACGAUGUGGGAAGGCCCAGACAGCCAGGAUGUUGGCUUAGAAGCAGCCAUCAUUUAAAGAAAGCGUAAUAGCUCACUGGUCGAGUCGGCCUGCGCGGAAGAUGUAACGGGGCUAAACCAUGCACCGAAGCUGCGGCAGCGACACUGUGUGUUGUUGGGUAGGGGAGCGUUCUGUAAGCCUGUGAAGGUGUGUCGUGAGGCAUGCUGGAGGUAUCAGAAGUGCGAAUGCUGACAUAAGUAACGAUAAAGCGGGUGAAAAGCCCGCUCGCCGGAAGACCAAGGGUUCCUGUCCAACGUUAAUCGGGGCAGGGUGAGUCGACCCCUAAGGCGAGGCCGAAAGGCGUAGUCGAUGGGAAACGGGUUAAUAUUCCCGUACUUGGUGUUACUGCGAAGGGGGGACGGAGAAGGCUAUGUUGGCCGGGCGACGGUUGUCCCGGUUUAAGCGUGUAGGUGUGUGUUCCAGGUAAAUCCGGUUCACUUUAACACUGAGGCGUGACGACGAGGCACUACGGUGCUGAAGCAACAAAUGCCCUGCUUCCAGGAAAAGCCUCUAAGCAUCAGGUAACAUCAAAUCGUACCCCAAACCGACACAGGUGGUCAGGUAGAGAAUACCAAGGCGCUUGAGAGAACUCGGGUGAAGGAACUAGGCAAAAUGGUGCCGUAACUUCGGGAGAAGGCACGCUGACACGUAGGUGAAGUGAUUUACUCAUGGAGCUGAAGUCAGUCGAAGAUACCAGCUGGCUGCAACUGUUUAUUAAAAACACAGCACUGUGCAAACACGAAAGUGGACGUAUACGGUGUGACGCCUGCCCGGUGCCGGAAGGUUAAUUGAUGGGGUCAGCGCAAGCGAAGCUCCUGAUCGAAGCCCCGGUAAACGGCGGCCGUAACUAUAACGGUCCUAAGGUAGCGAAAUUCCUUGUCGGGUAAGUUCCGACCUGCACGAAUGGCGUAAUGAUGGCCAGGCUGUCUCCACCCGAGACUCAGUGAAAUUGAACUCGCUGUGAAGAUGCAGUGUACCCGCGGCAAGACGGAAAGACCCCGUGAACCUUUACUAUAGCUUGACACUGAACAUUGAGCCUUGAUGUGUAGGAUAGGUGGGAGGCUUUGAAGUGUGGACGCCAGUCUGCAUGGAGCCGACCUUGAAAUACCACCCUUUAAUGUUUGAUGUUCUAACGUGGACCCGUUACCCGGGUUGCGGACAGUGUCUGGUGGGUAGUUUGACUGGGGCGGUCUCCUCCUAAAGAGUAACGGAGGAGCACUAAGGUUGGCUAAUCCUGGUCGGACAUCAGGAGGUUAGUGCAAUGGCAUAAGCCAGCUUGACUGCGAGCGUGACGGCGCGAGCAGGUGCGAAAGCAGGUCAUAGUGAUCCGGUGGUUCUGAAUGGAAGGGCCAUCGCUCAACGGAUAAAAGGUACUCCGGGGAUAACAGGCUGAUACCGCCCAAGAGUUCAUAUCGACGGCGGUGUUUGGCACCUCGAUGUCGGCUCAUCACAUCCUGGGGCUGAAGUAGGUCCCAAGGGUAUGGCUGUUCGCCAUUUAAAGUGGUACGCGAGCUGGGUUUAGAACGUCGUGAGACAGUUCGGUCCCUAUCUGCCGUGGGCGCUGGAGAACUGAGGGGGGCUGCUCCUAGUACGAGAGGACCGGAGUGGACGCAUCACUGGUGUUCGGGUUGUCAUGCCAAUGGCACUGCCCGGUAGCUAAAUGCGGAAGAGAUAAGUGCUGAAAGCAUCUAAGCACGAAACUUGCCCCGAGAUGAGUUCUCCCUGAGACUUAGAGUCUCCUGAAGGAACGUUGAAGACGACGACGUUGAUAGGCCGGGUGUGUAAGCGCAGCGAUGCGUUGAGCUAACCGGUACUAAUGAACCGUGAGGCUUAACCUUACAACGCCGAAG
rnacentral:rRNA from 5 species